GGCGCUGAGAAGUAACCCUGUUUGCCCUCUGAGAGAGCAUCAUGGUGGCAUGGAAAUGCAUCAUCCACAAGAACACCUCCUGCAUUCCAUCUUUGUGAUGCUGGGUCUCUGUGAAGAGGAGCAAUCCCCACAUGGAAAUCAGCAUGGAUGAGGAGUGAGGGUGGCAGGGUCCAGUCUGAGUCCAAGGUUUGAGAAGCCGAGCGGUGGUGUGUCCAGCACACACACACACACACACACAUCCCAUUGUUCUUACUCCUCUGGAACAACCAAGACUGCAAAAAAAUAAAACCAUGGGGUGACCUCUUGAGUGCUGGCCUCAGAGCUAGUCCCAGAAGUCGGCUGACCACGUCUUGAAAGAAUAAACACCUCCCACCAUUGUUCACACUAAUUGUGCCUUUCAUUUGCGUCUCCUCAGAAGGAAAGCCAAGAAUGAAAUUCCUGUGGAGAACAGGAUCCUCCUCAUCGUUGGAGAGGAACCCUGGAUACAUUAAAAUGGAGGGAAGAACAGCAACAUUCCACAUCUGACACCACAGAAACUACCAGCUACAGUGGUUCAGAGUCCGCAUUUGAUCUCUCUACAUUUCCUGGGCUGACACAAUGUCUCCGUGAAGCUGAGGUGUCAGCGCUUGCUGUGAAGAAAAGCAAUCACCAAAAGAAAAUCCGUGAGAAUGAGGAGUGAGGGUGGCAAGGUCCCAUCUGAUUCCAAGAAAAUCUGACCCUCCAAAGCAAGAAACUUGAGGGCCUGGGUCACCCCAGCCCUGGUAUCUGCCCAGAGCUUGAGAAGGAAGGACCAUUCUCCAGCUACCUCACAGGGCUGGCAUAGGCGGUCGCUCUGUGGAUCACUCAGCUGUGUCAGGCACAUGAACCCCAUCUGCAGGAAUUCGAGGAGGAAAAUACAAAAGUCUUUACGUGAGCACUGAGAAGGCAGAUGCAGCAGAAACCUCCAGGCGGUGGUGAAGCCCUCUAUUGUCCUGACCCCACAGUUCCUGUCCCAUGACCAGGAGCUCACCAAGGAGCUGCAGCAACAGCACGUAAUGUCAGUGCCAUCCCACAUGCGAGCACGUGAGGAAGGGAGACAUGAGACCGCAAUCAUGAUGCAUAAGCUGUACACUGGUUCAGUCCAGAAAGGUGAGACAACCUGAGGAAAAGGCCAGACGGGCUCCAGACCAUACGUAGACAAAGAAAGCGUUGUGGUGAAACAUGGAAUCGUCAUGGUCGCAAGUUCGGUUCACAUGCCUUCUUUCUUUGAAUAUUUUUCCCCAGUGGCCAGUAUUUGAUUCUGGGGUAUUAUGGCUAAAAGGUGGGCACUGGAACAAAAUAAAGACAAGAAGGAUUUGGAAUAAGUGGUCCACUCACAAUGAAUCAAUCUGCCAUUGGAACAUAUUUUUACAAAGUCACUCUUUUCAAAAUAUAGUGUGGAUUGAAACAGAGUCUAUAAGGUUAGUUUUUCUCCUGGUCUAUGAUGAACAGCAUUUUAGAGAAGGAACCCAGGACACAACCACAGUACAAGAAAAAACAUGAUAAAUAAGUUUACACAUAUGUAAAGCCCAUACUCACCGAGUGAGGACUUAGCUCCACCUUCUCAAUGGCCGAGUGUCUACAUCAAUUAUUUGGAAUUCUUUUGCAAAGGAGACUUCUAUUCAACUCUGUUUGCUUAUUCACCUACGUGAAUAACACUACAGCAUUAUGCUGCACAAUUUAUUCCUGUGUUGACCAUUGGUAGCUCUUUUUAUUGGCUCCAAUUUUUCUUGGACAUAUUUCAACUUUUUUUAGUGCUCUCUGAUACUUCCAGAUUAUCCUGACUCAUCUAUUUACUGUCCCAGUUCUAGUAUCAGACAUUUCCUCAAACAGCCUGAUUCCUUUCAGAAUGGCAGGAAAACGUGUGUCUGGCUGCCAAAUGAGCACGUUGUGUCUUGUUCCUCAUUAGCAAUGCCAGGAAGUAUAUGUGUGUAUGUCACCUGCCUCUACACACCCGAUUACAGAGGUUUCGACGUGGAACUGAAUGUAUCCGCAUUAAACUAAACAUAAGUUUA